CGUCCGUAGGUGAACCUGCGGAAGGAUCAU
rnacentral:rRNA from 1 species